GGGCGGAUAGCUCAAGUGGGAGAGCGUCUGGUUUACACCCAGAAGGUCGCAGGUUCAAGUCCUGUUCCGCCCACCA
rnacentral:tRNA from 1 species